AUGAACUUUUUCUCUAACAAGACACAUUUUAAGGUAAGCAUAUUUAUCCACAGAUUAUCCUUAAAACAAGAAGAAGAGCAAAGAAAAAAGGCAGAUAUGUUAUCUGAAGAAAUUAGAGAGCAGUUAAGAAGAGAAGAAGAGCAAUGUAGUAAAGAAACUGAAUUGAAACAGCAACUUGAACUCACUCUUGAAGUACUACAAGGGGAACUGAAGACUGUGAGAAAUAAGGCAAACCAGGCUUGAAAAGGAAAAUGCCGAGUUAAAAGGUACAAACAAAAUGCAAGCGGGCACAAUUGAAGAGCUUCAGAAAAACCUGCUGAGUCUAAGUUCGGUAAGUCAGUUUUUUUCUGUCGUACUGAAAAGGAAUUUUAAUUGUGUUACCAAUAUUAUAUGAGAAUAUUUUAGAAAAGAGGAAAAGUCUCAUUGAUAAAAAGCAGUUACGGCAUUUAUAGUGAUACUCUUUGCUACGAAUAGCAUACUUCCUCUUUAUAGAAGACAUUAACUGAAUUCAUAAAAUGAGUGAUUUUUGUAGGAAGAUUUUAAUUAGAAAGAUUGUGGAAGCACUCCCAUUGUGGCUCAGUGGCUUAUGAACCCUACUAGUAUCCAUGAGGAUGUGGCCUCGCUCAUCGUGGGUUAAGGGUCCAGUGUUGCCAAGGCUCUGGUAUAGGUCUCAGCAGCAGCUCUGAUUCAACCCCUAGCCUGGGAACUUCUGUAUGCCACAGGAGUGGCUUUAAAAAAAAAAAAAAAAAGACAAGAGAGAAAGAAAGAGAAGAAUAGAAAAGUUGGGGACUGAACAUCCAGGGUUAGUGUCAUUUAGAAACGAAGUAAGCUUAGAGGAGGGCCUCUUCAGGUCACAUUGUGUAAGUUCAGUUGAGUUCACUGGAGGAAGAGUGUCAUAAAUACCAAGGGACUAGAUCAGCACUAUGUGAUAAAUAAGGAAAAGGUUAUAGUAUAUUUCUCAGUACCCACCAAUUGGGAGCUUAGAAUUUGAGAUGAAAACUCUCAAUCUUCUUUUUAGCGCCAUCACAUGUUCCAUUAAGUAUAUCUUUGAAGCCUUACAUUCUCCUUAGACUUCUGGUUACCAGUUCUUUCUCCAGGUGGAAAGUAGCUGUGUUAAGAACACUUCUCUCUCGAUCUCUCUCGCGCUCUAGUAAUAAUUUACGGCAUUCAGGGAGUUAUAGAUGAUCAUGUUUGAAUACCUGAGUGAAUUCUUUUAUAAAGUCAAAGUCCUUACUACAGUAGUAUUUUUUUUUAAAAAAAAAACCAAUCUUUUAUUAUUAUUUUUUUCCUUUUAGGGCCAUGCCUACAGCAUAGGGACAUUACCAGGCUAGGGGUCGAAUCGGAGCUGCAUCUGCAGGCUUACGCCAGAGCCACCGCAAUGCCAGAUCUGACCUGCAUCUGUGAUCUAGAGCACGGCUUGUGGUCACGUGGGCUCCUUAACCCACCGAGCAGGGCCAGGGGUAGAACAACCCGCAUCCUCAUGGAUACCAUGCCCGGUUCUGAACCCACUGAGCCACAGGAGGCAUUCGCACAGGAGUAUUUGUAAACACAUAGUUGUAGAGAAAUAUAACUCAGCAUUAUUAGGAACAUACUAUGAACACCAACCUUUGUCUUGUAUUUAAUAUAUUUUGAUUUUUUAUAAAGUUUGCUAGACCAUAAUACAUUUAUAUAUUAUAUAUAUCUUUUAAUGUAUAAAGAAAACCUAUAAAGCAGAGGCUUUUGAUUCUAGUAUAUCCCUAAUAAUAGUAUUGAUACAUGACUGAUCUAGUAUAUCUAAAUGCUGAAAUAUAUUGUAUAGAUUGAGAGAGAGUCAAGACGAGAGAUGUAACAGAGAGAGUGGAGUUAAGUGAGAACAGGGAACUCUCUGUUUGAAAAUAUGGAAGUUAUUUCAAAUUCACAUUAGGAAAAGAAAGCUAAGUCCUGGACAAGGUGCUCCGACGCUUCUGAAUGCCAUGUCGCUGAUGUUGAAGAAGAACUGAAAGAAACUUUCAUCUUCACCUUUUUUUGGUUAUGCAUGUUAGUUUUGAUUUGAUGUUGUUUCUUGACAAAGAAAUCCUCACUUUGAAAUGAAUAAAAUGAUGUCUUAUAUUUAGUCUAGCAAAACCUGUAUUCAUCGAUAAUCACGUUCAGCUCAGUUUUAUGCCAUACUGUGUUUAUUCAGACGGAGACACUUGGGCCCUUCUGUUUCUUAUCGUUUCUAAGUUACUGUUUGGUGCAUACUUAACAGGCCUAACUAAUUCUAUCUGACUGUUUGGUAUCGUCUUCGUAGGUGUUUUUAAUCUUUUGAGAAGAAAGGGAGAGGACAUAAAUAAGCAUUUCACCCAGGCUUUCCACUAAGAGUAUAAUGUCUAAUUAUGUAAAUUAGGUUCUUCAUCUCUAUUCAUUACAUGAGAACAUUUGAACCUGCAACACUCUUAAAGAAAAAAGGUGUAGAAGUUAUUUGUGGGGGAGAGUUCUGAUUUCUCUCUUCCUAAUAGGAUCUGCACAUUAUGGACACAUAUGAACACAUCGAACAAAUGAAGCCACCAUUUAUGAUUUUUUCCUAAAAUCACCUCCUUGUUGCAAACUCACUAGAAGGAAAAAUGACUAGCAAAAAAUACAGAAUCAUCUCUGGAAGAGCAUUUGUUCCUUUUAAAGUAUCUCUAGCAAUAGGUACAUUUCACAUGAUUCUUGAGAAAUUUUACAAAUGUCAGUAUCUCUAGCCAUUAAACUAACAGGUAAGGUUUUUGUAUAUGCAUGUGAAACUAACAUGCAAAUUCUUCCAUAUCAAAAAUUCAGAAAUCCUUGCGACUUGAUUUUUCAGUCCCUUUGUUCGCUCCUCAUGUCAGUACUAGGUCCUCUUUGAUACUCUUAAUUGUAUUUUAAAAUCUUUCAAAUCUCCAACUUGGACAAUCAUAGUUUUAUUAAUUUUUGUAUUAGAUCAUUUUAGCAACCAUUAACUACCAUUGUAUAAAACACUAGAUAGGCAACUGGAGUUAUUAGAGUGCUAUUCACAGGAGAAUUAAAAACAGAGUGUGAUUUUAUUUUAUUUUAUUUUACCUUAAUUUAUUUUGUUGUUUUGUCUUUCUAGGGCUGCACCCAUGGCAUAUGAAGGUUCUCAGGCUAGGGGUCGAAUCAGAGCUGAAGCUGCUGUCCUACACAACAGCCACUGCAACGUGGGAUCCCAGCUGCCUCUGGGACCUACAGCACAGCUCAUGGCAAUGCCAGAAUCCUUAACCCACUGAGCAAGGCCAGGGAUCAAACCUGCAUCCUCAUGAAUGGUGGUCACAUCCAUUUUUGCUAAGCCAUGACAGGAACUCCAAAACUAUAGAGUGUGACAUUUUAAACAGGGUUUUUAAUUUUUUUCUUACAUUAUAUGACUACUUAAAAACACUGCAUAAUUCAACAAUCAUGUAAGCACUUGCAAGUGAAAACUUUUUUAGGAUUCAUUUUUUAAAAAGACAUUCUGGUAGCAUCUAGAAUUGGUAUUUUACAGUUAAAUGAUUUUGUUAAACAUGUAUUGCUGUAAUAUCCCAAAAUUAUCUGUAAUAUAUGUGUAUUGCUGUAAUAUCCCAAAAUGCUGUAAUAUCCCAGCAUUGUCUCUGCUGUAGCAUGAGUUUGAUGUCUGGCCCAGGAAUCUUCAUAGGCCUUGGGUGCUGCUGUACAAGAAACUAAAAAAAGAUCACAGUGGCAGUAAGUGGCUUACUAAAUGAUGAAGGUAUUUUCUGUUUGUUUGAGUAUUUUUUUGGCAUGUGGAAGUUCCUGGGCCAGGUACCAAACCUGUGGCACAGCAGCAACCCGAGCUGCCGCAUUAACAAAGCUGAUUUUGAACCUGCNNNNNNNNNNNNNNNNNNNNGAUACCUUUUCCUGAAGGACCAUAAGAUGAUAGCAGUUAAGGAUGUGACAGCUAGAACAGGCGUGUGGAUUUCUGACUUGGGGUGCGUUAAGUUUCAGUAGACUGUGAUCAGUUACCUCCUACAGGUAUAUUAGUGCUCUGGCACUUGAGGCCCUCUCGAGAUUUUAUUUUAUUUUUUUAUUUUAUUUUUUUUUGCCUUUUUGUCUUUUGUUGUUGUUGUUGUUGUUGUUGUUGCUAUUUCUUGGGCCGCUCCCGCGGCAUAUGGAGGUUCCCAGGCUAGGGGUCUAAUCGGAGCUGUAGCCACCGGCCUACGCCAGAGCCACGGCAACGCAGGAUCCGAGCCGCAUCUGCAACCUACACCACAGCUCACGGCAACGCCGGAUUGUUAACCCACUGAGCAAGGGCAGGGACCGAACCUGCAACCUCGUGGUUCCUAGUCGGAUUCGUUAACCACUGCGCCACGACGGGAACUCCCCCUCUCGAGAUCUUAAAUAUUUUGACCUUAAAUAAAUUCCUAUUGUUGAAUACCAACUAUGGGCCUGGCACUUGGACACAGAAUGUACCAGCUGAGGGGUUAGGCUGUCGUGGUAGAAGCAGAAAAACAAAUCUUUCCGAUAUCACUGUAAGACCUUCAUGGGAAUAACCUGACAUGGAGACGGUUAGGUUAGACAACACUGGGGGAGUUUGGCAG
rnacentral:lncRNA from 1 species